AGGAAGGUUUACUGCUUUGCAGCCCACCAGGUUGUUGUGGAGAAUGAAAAUGAUCUGUCUGGGGGUCUUGUUCUUUUUGGCAGCUUUCUCAGGUGUCAGCUCCCAGAUCCAGCUGACCCAGUCCGGGGCAGAAAUCAAGAAGCCUGGAGAGUCUGUGAAGGUGACGUGUAAAACCUCCGGCUACACCUUUACCAGCUAUUACAUUAGCUGGGUACGGCAGGCUCCCGGGAAAGCACUGGAGUGGAUCGGAUAUAUCUAUCCCGGUAGUGGUGACACUAGCUAUGCCCAGGCCUUCCAGGGGCGCUUCACCAUCACCAGGGACACCUCCAUAAGCACAGCCUAUCUACAGCUGGGCAGCCUGAGAACCGAUGACACUGCCACGUAUUACUGUGCUAGGCACACAGUGACACAAACCACAUCUACAGCCAUUCAAAAACCCUCCAUGAGAGAAUCCAAGUCUCCUGCUAACACUGCAGCCCUCAGCCACCCUGGGAACGGUUACCCCUGUGAACAGACUCUGGGGAAUUUUCCCCAAGUGACUUAG